rnacentral:rRNA from 1 species
UACGGAGGGUGCGAGCGUUGUCCGGAAUCACUGGGCGUAAAGGGUGCGUAGGCGGGUCUUUAAGUCAGGGGUGAAAUCCUGGAGCUCAACUCCAGAACUGCCUUUGAUACUGAGGAUCUUGAGUUCGGGAGAGGUGAGUGGAACUGCGAGUGUAGAGGUGAAAAUUCGUAGAUAUUCGCAAGAACACCAGUGGCGAAGGCGGCUCACUGGCCCGAUACUGACGCUGAG